rnacentral:rRNA from 1 species
UGACGGUACCUGACUAAGAAGCCCCGGCUAACUACGUGCCAGCAGCCGCGGUAAUACGUAGGGGGCAAGCGUUAUCCGGAUUUACUGGGUGUAAAGGGAGCGUAGACGGCAAGGCAAGUCUGAUGUGAAAUGCGGGGGCUCAACCCCUGAACUGCAUUGGAAACUGUUUAGCUAGAGUGCAGGAGAGGUAAGUGGAAUUCCUAGUGUAGCGGUGAAAUGCGUAGAUAUUAGGAAGAACACCGGUGGCGAAGGCGAUCUACUGGACAGUAACUGACGCUGAGGCGCGAAAGCGUGGGGAGCAAACAGGAUUAGAUACCCUG